GCGCGAAACCACGUUCUUUGGAGUGGUACUCCAGUGCUCUACCCACUACACCACUCUAUAUUGCUAUUUUACUGUGUUUUGUUCAACGGCUUUAAAUUAAUACUAGCAGUUAAAAUUAUGAAAAUGUAAAGUCCUUGUCUUCCUCAUCUAUCCUGUGGACAGAUAAUUUAGACAUCUCACAGACGUCAUGUUACGUCUGUCUGUUAAGCGUCUAAUUUCUAGACACAAAUGGAUGUCCGUGAUCGUAUGAGAAACGUAGAUCCAUAGGACAUCUAUACGAAGAUAGCAUAAGGCCGUAGUAAAUUGAGUAUCCAUGUGAUAUCCAAUUUAGGUUGCAGAUAGAUCAGAUUUGAUUUAGACAUUAAGACAUCUAUAUGAUAGACGAUGGAUGUAAGUGUGCUACCAGGGGGAAAGGUGGCAAAAAAAGAAAAAGGAGCAAUUGGCCACUGGUCAUGUCUUCCCCCUCUCCCCCCGCCAAAAAAAACAAAACAUGAAUAAAAUCAGACAGGCUGUCUGGAAUUUUCAUGGCACGAGAAAAUUCAAUAAGGCUACCUACUUAAAAGCUCAUUGCAGAUUAUUGGACUAGUGAAUAAAGGCAAUUCCUUUGAAUUUGGGGGGUUCUUUCUCCCCACCUUUUGCUUCGUUCCAAAAGAGGCUUAAAGUCUGCGGUGAAUAGAAACAAGAUAAGUAAAUGAAGAGACGUGGAGGUAGACGAUGAAUAAGACGACAAGAAAACAAUGCAGGAACCAAGGAAGAAGAGGUAGUUGAGACAACCUGUAAAAUACCCUCCUUUAAGGAUUCAAGAGCUGUUUUUUCCCAUCUCUCAAGUAUUCACGACGGAGAACUGAUGAAAAAUCUCUCGCAAUCUAUUCCCGUGCAAUCAAAACUCCGACUACUACGAGGCGGGUCUCGUUCAGUAACCUGCGACUUGUGUUACAGAAUGGAAUAUUCUGAUGGAAGUUCUUAAAUCAGAAUCAAACAAGCAAAUAAUCACAAAAGUGGAAGUGACCUAGCCAAAAUUGUGAAACGCAUUAUGAGGGGAGUCGUGACAGACGAAUUUGAUGCUAGUUAUGUUGGAUGGAUGGGACAGCAUGGCAAAUAUACUGUGUUUAGAACAAAAAGCUUCUUAACCUAAUUUUUUAUAAUAAAUUAGUUUACACGUGUGUAUGCUUUCAUAAAAUCAUUUAAUAUCGAUUUAGCUUAGGUGGAUCAAUCUCUGCUGUAGCCGUAUGCCACGAGAAAGCAAGUUGAAGGAGAUACUAUGAACUAUAUCAAUCGAUUUAAUUUAAUCAACGUUUCAAUAGAGAGGAGACUCAAGCUGCUAGAUAGAAGUGACGAGGUAGACAGGGAAAAGACCGGCAAUCAUUUCAUUAAUCAUGGCAAUCCCGCAUGUCUGGAAGAUCGUAAAACAUUGCAUGUUAAUCAUUCAUUUGUUUUACCUAUUUGUUUUCGUCGUUGUGUCUUCUUCAUGUUCACAAUGCCUUGUGUUAUCCUUAAAAAGAAAUAUGUCAUGUGUUCUAGUGGUCCAUUAUGGGCAAGUUUAUUACACUUUACGGAUUAUUUAUUUAAAAUUUUAACGGCAAGUAGCAAAGAAAAACAUAAUAGCUUUAUAUUAAUUCAUAUUUAAUUCACUGCCAAUGAACCAAAUUGACCCCGUUCAAGAACUUGUAAGUUUUUUUGUUCAAUUUUGUUCGUGAAAUCUUCAUGCAAUGAGGACGUAAAUAGGGAGGAAAUUAUACCCUCCCUGUGAGUGAACAUUGUUCAUGUCUGUUCUCUUUGUUCACUGUCUGUUCAUAAACUGUGCGAAAUUUUGUUAGGCGGGUAAAUACCAAACUCGUAAGGAAUGCUAUCCAUACAAAGUCACUUGAUUUUGUUCGUUGCUGAAACGGUAGACUUAUUUUCAAGGACGAGAAUUCGUGCUGGAAGGCUUGGCGAAGGUUUACAAAAAUCUCUUAAUCCCUCGCGUUAACCUAGUUCCUGCUAGUAUUACGGAAGAAUUUUGGUUCUUGCUAAUUGAUGCAAAAUGGUCAAUUUCUUCUAAAAUAUCCAUUUGGAGUUAAAAUUCUGCCAUCGGGUGAAAUGAUAACACUGAUAAAAAUUGAAAAAUGUUGUAAAAAACCUGACAGAGCCUUUGACAAAAGAAAAUAAAAGUUAAAUUUGAGCGGUAAAUGUCUUAAGUUACAGAAAGAAAAAAGCAAGGUCGGCAUAUUCUCUGCCUUUUACAUUUUUUUGCUUGAAAGUGAGCAAAAUAUUUGGCAAAAUAAGUUGGAAAAAACGACUAUAUUUUGGUGUAGAACCAAGCUCUAUUGUCGCUAGGAAAAGUGAAAAAAAGACUUUCUUCUAGUUUAGGGGGGGGGGGGAAUUUCGUGCGGCAGCCGCUGUUGGGAUU